CGGACGAGUGAGUAACGCGUGGAAAACCUGCCGUAUACUGGGGGAUAACACUUAGAAAUAGGUGCUAAUACCGCAUAAGCGCACAGCUUCGCAUGAAGCGGUGUGAAAAACUCUGGUGGUAUACGAUGGUUCCGCGUCUGAUUAGCUAGUUGGUGGGGUAAUGGCCUACCAAGGCAACGAUCAGUAGCCGGCCUGAGAGGGUGAACGGCCACAUUGGGACUGAGACACGGCCCAAACUCCUACGGGAGGCAGCAG
rnacentral:rRNA from 1 species